rnacentral:rRNA from 1 species
UGCGUAGGCGGUCCUAUAAGUAUGGUGUGAAAUCUCCCGGCUUAACUGGGAGGGUGCGCUAUAGACUGUGGGACUAGAGUAUGGGAGAGGAAAGUGGAAUUCCUGGUGUAGCGGUGAAAUGCGUAGAUAUCAGGAGGAACACCGGUGGUGUAAACGGCUUUCUGGACCAUAACUGACGCUGAGGCACGAAAGCGUGGGUAGCAAACAGGAUUAGAUACCCUGGUAGUCCACGCCCUAAACGAUGCAUAUUUGGUGUGGGUCAUUCAGUUGAUCCGUGCCGGAGCUAACGCGUUAAAUAUGCCGCCUGGGGAGUACAGUCGCAAGGCUGAA